AAACUCCCUCUGCCUCUCGAAAUGCCCUUUUCUGCCUCUGCCGCCGGUCCGGGAACGGGCUUCGGUUCCUUCUCCUGCUCCGAGAAAAAAAAGAAAAAAAAAAAAAAGAAAAAAAAAAGCCCUUUUCGAGCAUCUUCCCAUCGGGAGGGCUGUCGCUCGCUCGAGGUUUCUGGCCAGCAGCUCCAAGGACUGUCACAACCAUGCUGUGCAUUUGGGAACAUCAUGCAAUGGGGCUUUAACUGUGAAUGGAGGACAUCGUGGCCCCACUAUGGGUGGGAUAAGAACAACUCUCACCUCAAGGGUGAGUGCUUAAAAGUGGAGGCAAAGCUAGCUGGUGGAGCAAGUGAUGGGGGCAGGCUUCCCUGAGGUGCAAAUCAGCCCAUGUGCACUCAAAAUGACCCAAAUCACGACCUUAUGGAGGCUCUUUUGGCUGUAGGGUGCACUGAUGACAGAGACAGUUCCCACCAUCUGUGGAUUUCCUCACCCUGGCAGCUCAGUGAGGAGCAGCGGGCCCUAGCUAAAAGCCUUGUGGUCCAGAUGUUAUGAACCAUCCACCCUGGUUCCAGUAAGAGCAGUGCUCCUACAACACCACAAUGAGCAGCUGCAUGGAGGUUUGAGCCAUCCCAGGGUGGAGGUCAACUUCUCCAUCCCCACGUUUGCCAUAACCAGCCACAGCACACGCAAUGAUAAAAAGGGAACCGGCAGCACAAAACUCAUCCUGAUUUCCAGGCUGAUGUCUGCACAACCCUACUGGCUUCUCCAACAGAACCAAGAGACACAGACCUGCUCUGUCCCAGGGUUUCCCACUAGGCUGAUUACUGCUAAUUGUACCACUUGUCUAUCUCGCCAGCCGCACCCUGAGCAGGGCUGAUAGGGUAUCAGUGAGAUAAGGAGCACUUGGAUAGCUCAGGUAACAGAACUUUGGGAGGGAUUAUCACCACUGCCACCCUCCUUCGGGGGGACACUGAGGUCCUAAGGAUGUGUGCAGGGGCUGGCAUCCAGCUGUAAGCCUUGUGGGAAAUGCUACUGUGGGUUUUGGUGACUCUAUCUGCAAGUUGCAGAGAAGCAAGCUGGCAUUCAUUUCAUAGUAAUUCCUUUAAAUUCACUUAGCAUGCGGAUUAUUUGUAUGAGCUGUUUUUGCUGUUGUUAACACAACACUGUGGAAAUGGAGGCUUCAUCAUUUCUCCAUCUUUUUCCCCCCUCCCACAGAGAAAUAAAUGCUGUUCUUUUAACAAA